rnacentral:sRNA from 1 species
GCUAGGCAUGAUGACCAGCACCUGUAGUCCCAGCUAUUGAGGAGGCUGAGGCAGGAGGAUCUCUGGAGCCCAGGAUUUCCAGAUCAGCCUGGGCAAUAUGGUGAGACUCCAACUCAA